rnacentral:misc_RNA from 1 species
AGGGAGCGAGCAGGGCGAGCGAGGAGAGGCCCGAAAACACAACGCCAAAAAACGGCAAACAACAAAACCGCAGCGCAAAAGAGCAGCGCCCCCCCACGCCCAGGGAGGGAAGGGACCACAAGGGGCACGCCGGAGCGCCGCGAGGACGAAGGAAGAGAAAACAGACAGCGACGGGACGCCGGGAGGCAGAACAGCCGCGAAGACAAAGCCAACACACCGAGACGCAAGGGCCAACGGACGGG